CGAAAGCCUGACGGAGCAACGCCGCGUGAGGGAUGAAGGCCUCUGGGCUGUAAACCUCUUUUCUCAAGGAAGAAGACCUGACGGUACUUGAGGAAUAAGCCACGGCUAAUUCCGUGCCAGCAGCCGCGGUAAUACGGGAGUGGCAAGCGUUGUCCGGAAUUAUUGGGCGUAAAGCGUCCGCAGGCGGCCUUGUAAGUCUGUCGUUAAAGCGUGGAGCUUAACUCCAUUUAGGCGAUGGAAACUACAAGGCUUGAGUGUGGUAGGGACAGAGGGAAUUCCCGUUGUAGCGGUGAAAUGCGUAGAUAUCGGGAAGAACACCAGUGGCGAAGGCGCUCUGCUGGCCAUAACUGACGCUCAUGGACGAAAGCCAGGGGAGCG
rnacentral:rRNA from 1 species